UCUCCGUAGGUGAACCUGCGGAGGGAUCAUUACUGAGUGAGGGCUUCGGUCCGACCUCCAACCCUUUGUGAACCCAACUUGUUGCUUCGGGGGCGACCCUGCCGCUUCGGCGGUGCGGCGCCCCCGGAGGCCAUUAAACACUGCAUCAGUGCGUCGGAGUGAAAGUAAAUUAAAAAAAACUUUCAACAACGGAUCUCUUGGUUCCAGCAUCGAUGAAGAAAGCAGC
rnacentral:misc_RNA from 1 species